AACGAACGCUGGCGGCGCGCCUAAUACAUGCAAGUCGAGCGAGAAGGUGUAGUAAUACACUUGUAAAGCGGCGAACGGGUGAGGAAUGCAUGGGUAACCUACCCUCGAGUGGGGAAUAACUAGCCGAAAGGUUAGCUAAUACCGCAUACGUUUCCGGAACUUCGGUUUCGGAAAGAAAGCAAUACCGUGGGUAUUGCGCUCCUGGAUGGGCUCAUGUCCUAUCAGCUUGUUGGUGAGGUAACGGCUCACCAAGGCUUCGACGGGUAGCUGGUCUGAGAGGACGAUCAGCCACACUGGCACUGCGACACGGGCCAGACUCCUACGGGAGGCAGCAGUAAGGAAUAUUGCGCAAUGGACGAAAGUCUGACGCAGCGACGCCGCGUGGGGGAUGAAGGUCUUCGGAUUGUAAACCCCUUUCGGGAGGGAAGAUGGAGUGGGUAACCACUUGGGACGGUACCUCCAGAAGCAGCCACGGCUAACUUCGUGCCAGCAGCCGCGGUAAU
rnacentral:rRNA from 1 species